AUCCGGGUGAUGGAAGGCCGGCUAUCCUC
rnacentral:sRNA from 1 species